rnacentral:rRNA from 1 species
UAGGGAAUCUUCGGCAAUGGACGGAAGUCUGACCGAGCAACGCCGCGUGAGUGAAGAAGGUUUCCGGAUCGUAAAGCUCUGUUGUAAGAGAAGAACGAGUGUGAGAGUGGAAAGUUCACACUGUGACGGUAUCUUACCAGAAAGGGACGGCUAACUACGUGCCAGCAGCCGCGGUAAUACGUAGGUCCCGAGCGUUGUCCGGAUUUAUUGGGCGUAAAGCGAGCGCAGGCGGUUAGAUAAGUCUGAAGUUAAAGGCUGUGGCUUAACCAUAGUAGGCUUUGGAAACUGUUUAACUUGAGUGCAAGAGGGGAGAGUGGAAUUCCAUGUGUAGCGGUGAAAUGCGUAGAUAUAUGGAGGAACACCGGUGGCGAAAGCGGCUCUCUGGCUUGUAACUGACGCUGAGGCUCGAAAGCGUGGGGAGCAAACAGGAUUAGAUACCCUGGUAGUCCACGCUGUAAACGAUGAGUGCUAGGUGUUAGACCCUUUCCGGGGUUUAGUGCCGUAGCUAACGCAUUAAGCACUCCGCCUGGGGAGUACGACCGCAAGGUUG